rnacentral:rRNA from 1 species
UACGGGGGGAGCAAGCGUUGUUCGGAUUUACUGGGCGUAAAGGGCGCGUAGGCGGUAGCACAAGGCAGUUGUGAAAUCUCCGAGCUUAACUCGGAAAGGUCAACUGAUACUGUGCGGCUAGAGUGCAGAAGGGGCAACUGGAAUUCUUGGUGUAGCGGUGAAAUGCGUAGAUAUCAAGAGGAACACCUGCGGCGAAGGCGGGUUGCUGGGCUGACACUGACGCUGAGGCGCGAAAGCUAGGGGAGCGAACGGG